rnacentral:lncRNA from 10 species
CCCGGGCUCCUGGGGCUAAAUCACGCCCUCCCGGGGAGCACCCCUGAUGCUCACAUCUCCUACCCUUCCUCCUGUAUCUGGAUCCCACCCUAGCCUCCUCAGCACCAUGGUCCCUCCAGCUUGCCUUCUGCCUCUACACACACUCUCUCUCUGUCUCUCUCUCUCUCUGUAUGUCUCUUUCAUUUCCUCUACGCCCACAACCUGGUCUAGUCUCAACCCCUCUUCCUGGCUGGCUGACCACAGUCCCCUAACCACCUGGGACCUGCACCCCACCCCCACCUGUGGAGACCACGCCCAGGAGCACACCUGGGAACCAGGCCAGUGCCAUGCAGUUUUCUCACCUGCCAUGCUGCAUGCCCCAGCAUCCUGCCUUCUGAACUGUGGCACU